CCUGUCCCUAGAAGCAUUGUAGGUGUGUCCACUGUGUCACAUGCAUAUCAGGAGGUGGCAGAGAGGAGAAAGGUUAUGUCUAUGCUUAGUUUCCUGACUUAUGAACAUCUGAAUGAUUAAUACUCUAACACU